rnacentral:siRNA from 1 species
CCACUUCGGAAGCCGCCACCG